rnacentral:rRNA from 1 species
AUUGAACGCUGGCGGCGUGCUUAACACAUGCAAGUCGAGCGGCAGCGCGGUAGCAAUACUGGCGGCGAGCGGCGACGGGUGAGUAACGCUUGGGAAUCUGCCUAUUAGUGGGGACAACCCGGGGAACUCGGGCUAAUACCGCAUACGCCUCUACGGAGGAAAGCCGGGGACCGCAAGGCCUGGCGCUAAUAGAUGAGCCCAAGUCGGAUUAGCUAGUU